AUUUUUCGCUUUGGCUUUAUUUGACACACUUUUUAUUAACUUGUUUUAUUGCAAAGCGAUUGUUGAACACGGAAUACAAUUCCUUAGUUUCAAGUCAAGUGGAAGAUACAACGAAAUUUCUAAUUCAAUUUCACAUUGUGAACAUACAGAGAUGAGCAAAAAAGCAGCAUUUCCAUCUUUUUCAACUUCUUGUGCUGGAUAUUGUAAUGACAGUCCAAAAUCUGAUAUUUUCGCCACCCAUUUCCCGUCAAGUAGGAUGUUGGUGGACUUAACGUCGCGGUGGAUGAUGGCGUGUUUGGUGCCAGUGUGGAGGUAGUCCAGUCCCUUGGCAGCGCCUAGGCAGAUUUGAAGGCAUUGCUUCCACAUUAAGGGUGAGUUGAUGGAGUUGCAGAUGUGGUCAUGGAGGGUGCCAUGGGCCAUGUAGUCGUGUACCAGGAUCAUCUCGCCGUUGUCGUCGCAGUAGCCUAUGAGGGAGACCAAGUGGAGGUGGCGAAGCUUGAAGAGCAUGUCGAUCUCGGUAAGUAACUCGUGAGCGCCUUGGUUGGAGGUGGAGUUGAGCCUUUUGAUUGCUACUGUUGUUGCCGCGUUGUCGAUGAGGCCUUUGUAGACGUUGCCGAAGCCUCCCCUGCCGAUGAUGAAGCUGUCGCCGAAGUUGCGGGUGAUCUAGCCGAUUGACAAGUAUCUGCAGGUAUCACAACGCAGGGAUCCCCUAGUUGACUUCCGCUGCCGCCGCCGUAGAAUCAAGAAAGUCACGGCUGCAACCACCACAACCACGCCGAUAACACUCCCCACCACACUUGAAAGCAUAAGAAGAAAAUGAGAGAAUGUAAUAAAAUAAAGAUGGCAUAUAGAAGUGUGGGAAACGUCUGGGAGGCAAGGAAGAGGAAGAAGAGAAUGGCAGCCAUGAAGAGAGGGAAGACGAAGAGCAGCGAAAACGAAGGUGGCUGAACCGGGCCGGGCGCCA